GAUGAACGCUAGCGGGAGGCUUAACACAUGCAAGUCGAGGGGUAGGGUAGCAAUACCUGAGACCGGCGGACGGGUGCGUAACGCGUAUGCAACCUGCCUUAUACAGGGGGAUAGCCCAUGGAAACGUGGAUUAACACCCCAUAGGAUUACGGGAUCGAAUGAUUUUGUGAUUAAAACUGAGGUGGUAUAAGAUGGGCAUGCGUCUGAUUAGGUAGUUGGUAGGGUAAUGUCCUCCCAAGCCGACGAUCAGUAGGGGUUCUGAGAGGAUUACCCCCCACACUGGUACUGAGACACGGACCAGACUCCUACGGGAGGCAGCAGUGAGGAAUAUUGGUCAAUGGCCGGAAGGCUGAACCAGCCAUCCCGCGUGCAGGAUGACGGCCCUAUGGGUUGUAAACUGCUUUUGUACCUGAAGAAUAGGCCCAACGAGUUGGGAUUUGCCGGUAAGGUAUGAAUAAGCAUCGGCUAACUCCGUGCCAGCCGCCGCUGUAAAAC
rnacentral:rRNA from 1 species